rnacentral:rRNA from 1 species
GUUCAUAGCAGGCCAGUUUCUUGAAUACUUCAGCUAGGAAUAAUGAAAUAGGACUCUGGCUCUAUUUGGUUGUUUUUCAUAACUGGGGCCAUGAUUGAGAGGGAGGCCGGGGGCAUUCCUAUUGUGCUUCUAGAGGUGAAAUUAUUGCACUGGCACAAGGUGAGCUGAAGGCGAAAGCAUUUGCCAAAAAUGCUUUCAUUAAUCAAGAACGAAAGAUGGAGGUUCGAAGAUGAUCAGAUACCGUUGUAGUUCUGACCAUAAACAAUGCCGACUAGAGAUCCAGGAGCGUUAUUCCCAAGACCCACCAAGCAGCUUCUGGGAAACCAAUGUCUUUGGGUUUCGGGGGAGUAUGGUUGCAAAGCUGAACCUUAAAGGAAUUGACAGAAGAGCAACACCAGGAGUGGAGCCUCCUGCUUAAUUUGACUCAACACAGGAAACUUCACCUGGCCCGGACACAAACGAUUGGCAGAUUGAUAGCUCUUUUUCGAUUCUGUGAGUGGUGGUGCAUGGCUGUUCUUAGUUUGUGGAGAGACUUGUCUGGCUAAUUCCGAUAACAAACGAGACUCCUACAUGCUAACUAAUUAUGCAACUGCCAGCGGUCAGCGUUCAACUUCAUAGAGAGACAAGUGGCGUUCAGCCACACGAUAGUGGGCAAAUAGCCCUUAACAGUGCUGCAUGCAUGCUACACUGAACGGAUCGGCCUGGGUCUACCCUCGCCAACAGGUGUAGAUAUCACGCUGAAUCCCGUUCAUGAUAGGGAUUGGGGGUUAUACUUAUUUCCCAUGAACAAGGCAUUCCCAGGAAGUGCAGGUCAAAAGCGUGAGUUGAUUAAGUAUGUGCCCUUUGUACACACCACCCAUCGCUACUACUGAUUGGAUGAUUUAGUGAGGUCCUCAGAUCUUUUAGAGGAAGUAAAAGUCGCAACGAGGUUUCCAUUGGUGAACCUGUAGAAGGAUCAUUAACGGCAGAGCAGCCGGAGGGAGAGCCAUGGGUCUGACCUCGCUUGCAUCCCAGACAUGCACACCCACAGCCCGGGGCGCCCAACACGCUAUGGUCCACCCAGCGGAGUGGUCCGCAGCCGUAUCACACAGGGGACUGGGCGCUAGGGAGCAGUAUCCCUUUGAUGGCCGAAGUGGUGAAGGGCUCCAUGCGAACACCAUUUGAACAUGAGUCAGUCGGUACUAAGAGAUGGGCGAGCGCAAUUCGGGAGGAACGGGUGAUGGCCUCCGUUGCCCUCAGCUGAUCAAAAGUGAAUAAGGUUCAGACCCCCAAACUCAGAGUGGCAGAGAUGCGCCCUCUCGCAGCAUUCAGUACGGUAACAGAAAUGAUCCCAGAGAAGCCGACAGGAGCCCAGUGGAGAGUUCUCUUUUCUUUGUGAAGGGCAAGGCACCCUGGAAUGGGUUCACCCUGAGAGAGGGGCCAGAGCCUUGGAAAGCAUUGCAGUUCCAGCAGCGUCCAGUGAACUUGCGCAAGUCCUUGAAAUUCCAGGCGAGAUGGUGUAAAUCUUGCACCAGGCAGCAACCAUAUCCGGCAGCAGGUCUUCAAGGUGAACAGCUUCUGGCAUGUGGAACAAUGUAGGUAAGGGAAGUCGGGAAGUGAGAUCCGUAACUUCAGGAUAAGUGUGCUCGAAGGGCUGGGUCAGUUGGCCUGGGACACAAAGCGGGGUUGGCGUGUGCGUGAAUGGACAAGGCAUCUCCCCGUGGGGGUGGCACAGACUCGACAUGAGCCGGGCCCUAGUUGUGGAUCGCCCCAGCUGCGGUGGUCCCAGGGUUCGGGGUGGAGUUCUGCCUUAGCUGAUGCCUAGAGUAGACUUAGAACUGGUGCGGACCAGGGGAAUCCGACUGUUUCAUUAAAAUAAAGCAUUGCGAAGGCCGGCAGUGGGUUGUUGAUGCAAAGUGAUUUCUGCCUGUUGCUCUGAAUGUCAAAGUGAAGAAAUCCAAUGAAGCAUGGGUAAACAAGAGAAGUAACUAUGACUCUCUUAAGGUAGCCAAAUGCCUUGUCAUCUAGUUAGUGAUGCACAUGAAUGGAUGACCGAGAUUCCCACUGUCCCUACCUACUAUCUAUAGCGAAACCACAGCCAAGGGAACGGGCUUGGCAGAAUCAGCGGGGAAAGAAGACACUGUUGAUUGUGCCUCUAGUCUGGCACUGUGAAGAGACAUGCAAGGUGUAGGAUAAAUGGGAGGCCCUUGGGCCGCGGGUGAAAUACCACUACUUUUAUCAUUUUUUCACUUAACCGGUGAGGCCGGGGACAAGCCCUGUAGGACCCUCGCUUCUGGCUCCAGGCGCAAUCCGCCCCAGGGACAGUGGCAGGUGGGGAGUUUGACUAAGGCAGUACAUCUGUCAAGUGAUAACGCAGUUGUCCAAAGGCGAGCUCAGGGAGGACAGAAGCCUCCCGCGCAGCAGAAGGGCAAAUGCUUGCUUGAUCCUGAUUUCCAGUAUGAAUACAGACUGUGAAAGCGGGGGCCUCACGAUCCUUCUGACUUUUGGGUUUUAAGUAGGAAGUGUCAGAAAGAUUACCACAGGAAUAACUGGCUUGUGGUAGCCAAGCGUUUAUAGCAAUGUUGCUUUUUGAUCCUUCAAUGUCAGCUCUUCCUAUCAUGUCAGAAAUCACCAAGCAUUGUAUUGUUUACCCACUAAUAGGGAACGUGAGCUGGGUUUAGACCAUUGUGAGACAGGUUUGUUUUACCUUACUGAUGGUAUGUUGUUGCACUAGUAAUGCUUCUCAGUACGAUGGGAACCGCAGGUUCAGACAUUUGGUGUAUGUGCUUGGCUGAGGAGCCAAUGAGGCGAAACUACCACCUAUGGGAAUAUGUGUCAGGAUCUUCACUCAUCAGACGGGACUUCUCGUUCCUCACCUGAUUCUUCCUGACUUGUCGAGGAUCCAUUUCUUCGUCCUUUCUUCUUUCUUUCGUGAAUGCUUCUUUUUUCUCUACAGAUAAGGUGUGUCUCGAAGGGAAGCGACUAUGUCUGCCAAGGAUAGCCGGCGGACUAAUGGCCCCUUCU